GUGGUCCUACGGGGCGCAGCAGUGGGGAAUAUUGCACAAUGGGGGAAACCCUGAUGCAGCAACGCCGCGUGAGUGAAGAAGUAUUUCGGUAUGUAAAGCUCUAUCAGCAGGGAAGAAAAUGACGGUACCUGAGUAAGAAGCCCCGGCUAACUACGUGCCAGCAGCCGCGGUAAUACGUAGGGGGCAAGCGUUAUCCGGAUUUACUGGGUGUAAAGGGAGCGCAGGCGGCGUGGCAAGUCAGAUGUGAAAACCCGGGGCCCAACCCCGGGAGUGCAUUUGAAACUGCCAUGCUGGAGUGCCGGAGG
rnacentral:rRNA from 1 species